AAUUUACCCCAAUCCCGUAGCAGACGAGGGCUUGUGCGAGAGGGGGCCGGGCGGCUGCAGGGAAGGCGGAGUCCAAGGGGAAAACGAAACUGAGAACCAGCUCUCCCGAAGCCGCGGGUCUCCGGCCGGCGGCGGCGGCGGCGGCGGCGGCGGCGCAGGUUUGCUUCUCUGGCGGUCUUCAGAAUCAACAUCCACACUUCCGUGAUUAUCUGCGUGCAUUUUGGACAAAGCUUCCAACCAGGAUACGGGAAGAAGAAAUGGCUGGUGAUCUUUCAGCAGGUUUCUUCAUGGAGGAACUUAAUACAUACCGUCAGAAGCAGGGAGUAGUACUUAAAUAUCAAGAACUGCCUAAUUCAGGACCUCCACAUGAUAGGAGGUUUACAUUUCAAGUUAUAAUAGAUGGAAGAGAAUUUCCAGAAGGUGAAGGUAGAUCAAAGAAGGAAGCAAAAAAUGCCGCAGCCAAAUUAGCUGUUGAGAUACUUAAUAAGGAAAAGAAGGCAGUUAGUCCUUUAUUAUUGACAACAACGAAUUCUUCAGAAGGAUUAUCCAUGGGGAAUUACAUAG
rnacentral:lncRNA from 1 species